CUACGGACUUGAUUAUAUUGAGCCUUGGUAUGGAAACAUGCUAAGUGGUAACUUCCAAAUCUAGAGAAACCCUGGAAUUAAAAAGGGGCAAUCCUAAGCCAAAUCCGUGUUUUGAGAAAAAAGGAUAGGUGCAGAGACUCAAUGGUAACAAAUAGUUUAUAUGAUGAGUAUUUUUUUAACUGAUAUGUGAUGAUGAGUAAAAAUUUAACUAG
rnacentral:ncRNA from 1 species